CAAAGAGACACAUCACUGGGUAUUUCCAGGGAUGUUCAUCUUAAAGAACAAGAUCUACCUGCAAACUGCUCUCCUCUACUAGCCUUAGUCUCCAGCUUCCUAACGAACAGCAAUGGCUCAACAGGGAACUUCCAGGUCUUCAGCAGAGCUUUGGGACUCUGGACACAUCUAACUUUGUGGAUUCAGCAGCUAUUAGAAAACAAAAGACUUUAAAAUCUAGGGACCCCGAAAGCAUAACUUGA